GAUGAACGCUGGCGGCGUGCCUAAUACAUGCAAGUCGAGCGAACGGACGAGAAGCUUGCUUCUCUGAUGUUAGCGGCGGACGGGUGAGUAACACGUGGAUAACCUACCUAUAGGACUGGGAUAACUUCGGGAAACCGGAGCUAAUACCGGAUGAUAUUUUGAACCGCAUGGUUCAAUAGUGAAAGACGGUCUUGCUGUCACUUAUAGAUGGAUCCGCGCUGCAUUAGCUAGUUGGUAAGGUAACGGCUUACCAAGGCAACGAUGCAUAGCCGACCUGAGAGGGUGAUCGGCCACACUGGAACUGAGACACGGUCCAGACUCCUACGGGAGGCAGCAGUAGGGAAUCUUCCGCAAUGGGCGAAAGCCUGACGGAGCAACGCCGCGUGAGUGAUGAAGGUCUUCGGAUCGUAAAACUCUGUUAUUAGGGAAGAACAUAUGUGUAAGUAACUAUGCACAUCUUGACGGUACCUAAUCAGAAAGCCACGGCUAACUACGUG
rnacentral:rRNA from 1 species